rnacentral:rRNA from 1 species
UUUUAUUUGAGAGUUUGAUCCUGGCUCAGGAUGAACGCUGGCGGCGUGCCUAACACAUGCAAGUUGAGCGAUUUACUUCGGUAAAGAGCGGCGGACGGGUGAGUAACGCGUGGGUAACCUACCCUGUACACACGGAUAACAUACCGAAAGGUAUGCUAAUACGGGAUAAUAUAUUUGAGAGGCAUCUCUUAAAUAUCAAAGGUGAGCCAGUACAGGAUGGACCCGCGUCUGAUUAGCUAGUUGGUAAGGUAACGGCUUACCAAGGCGACGAUCAGUAGCCGACCUGAGAGGGUGAUCGGCCACAUUGGAACUGAGACACGGUCCAAACUCCUACGGGAGGCAGCAGUGGGGAAUAUUGCGCAAUGGGCGAAAGCCUGAUGCAGCAACGCCGCGUGA